rfam:Toxocara canis scaffold580, whole genome shotgun sequence.
GCCUUCUUAGCUCAGUCGGUAGAGCACAGAGCUUUAGUGUCAGGGUUCUGGGUUCGAGUCCCACAAAAGGCG